GGCAGCGUGGGGUAGUUGGUUAACGCGUCGGCGUACAUUAUCGAAGCCACAGGUUCGAAUCCAGUCGGUUCCC
rnacentral:tRNA from 1 species